rnacentral:rRNA from 1 species
GAUGAACGCUGACAGAAUGCUUAACACAUGCAAGUCAACUUGAACUUCGGUUUGGGUGGCGGACGGGUGAGUAACGCGUAAAGAACUUGCCUCACAGAUAGGGACAACAUUUGGAAACGAAUGCUAAUACCUGAUAUUAUGAUUUUAGGGCAUCCUAGGAUUAUGAAAGCUAUAUGCGCUGUGAGAGAGCUUUGCGUCCCAUUAGCUAGUUGGAGAGGUAACGGCUCACCAAGGCGAUGAUGGGUAGCCGGCCUGAGAGGGUGAUCGGUCACAAGGGGACUGAGACACGGCCCUUACUCCUACGGGAGGCAGCAGUGGGGAAUAUUGGACAAUGGACCAAGAGUCUGAUCCAGCAAUUCUGUGUGCACGAUGAAGUUUUUCGGAAUGUAAAGUGCUUUCAGUUGGGAAGAAAAAAAUGACGGUACCAACAGAAGAAGUGACGGCUAAAUACGUG